AGGCUUGAAUUGUGGUCACUGACCCAUGACAGCUGGCGCCUGAACAGGGACCCCAACAUUGCAUUCAGAGGAGGUGCUCAGGAUAGAGUUGCAGUUGACAUAAUGUCAAAUAUAUCUCCUAUAAAGAUACAAUGGAAAUCUUCUCAGCCAAUUUGGAUCGAGCAAUGGCCUCUAUCAGAAGAAAAGCUACAAGCAGCUGAACAUUUGGUCAACAAACCACUAGAAAAAGGCCUUCAGUAUCUCCAUGGAAUUCGCCUAUCUUUGUCAUCAAAAGGAAAUCAGGAAAAUGGCAAUUGCUCACUGAUUUGCGAGCUGUUAAUGCUUCAAUGCAUCCCAUGGGAGCAUUGCAGCCAGGGUUACCUCAACCUAGUAUGAUUCCUAGAGAUUGGAAGUUACUUAUUAUUGUAGAUUUGCAAGAUUGUUUCUUUACUAUUCCUUUACAUAAAGAUGAUUGUCCAAGGUUUACUUUUUCUUCUUUACCUUAUGUUAAUCUACAGGGACCUCAUCAUCGAUUUCAAUGGACAGUGUUGCCUCAGGGUAUGAUGAAUUCUCCAACUAUAUGUCAGAUGUAUGUUCCUCAAGCUCUAUUUGGUUUAUGUAAACAAUUUCCUUCUAUAAUGAUUAUACAUUAUAUGGAUGAUAUUUUGUUUGCUACUAAAGAUAAUCAAUUAUUAAACAGUUUGCUUUAUACAGUUA